ensembl:lncRNA
UCCGAGGCCACGGGGGAUGCUGGCGCUGCUGGCUUGGACUAACUGGGACCAGAAACACCUCCCUGGGUCCCGUGUCCCCCCUUAACGGGCCUCUCUCCUCCUUUCCAAGGGAUUCCAGCCCAGGGAGCCCACCCUAAUUCUCUGGGCGGCCAUACAGUUCUCAAAAGGACAGUGCUGGCAGCUUGCUUGAAAAGAAGUCAGACCCGUGGCGGGCUCCUCUAGGCUGGAUUCACGACCAUUAGCCAAGUGUGGGUCAGACCAGGAUCAAAGCUGCUGAAUCCUUACUGAUACUCAUUCAUUCAUUCAAACAUUUGGAGAUAGAGGGCUGACUGAACACAGGUUACUGCCUUUGAGAAGCCCCCACAGGUGACACGGACAGAGGACUCUGGAAAUACCAACCUCCCUGAGUCUAGAGCAUCAGAAAGGUCCCUCAGAGGAGAGAGUAGUGGCUGGGGCUUAGAAAGUGAAUAGGGGUAGGAGAGAGAGUGUGACUGGGAUUUGAGGCAAAUGACACAGCUUGUGCAAAGGCCCUGGGGUGUGGGAGAAAGUGAUAAUCAGGUAACAGUGAGCUCCAUGAGGGCUGUACCUCAAUGCCCAAUUCAGAUGUUAAACAAAUGCUGAGUGAAUGAAUAAGUUGCAAGAGGCUCAGUGGCGUCUUGAGGCACAGUGGCAUGAAGAGAGUCGGCGGAGAAGAGCUGGAGUGACGUGUUUGGAAAUAUCAAUCAGGCAGCUGUUCUGCGGACGAAGAGGAAUUUGAACUUGUCACCUUAGCGGGUCCAGGCUGGACUCUCCGCCUUCACUGACUCCCCGGACUUUCAGGGAGCAGCAGGACCCCCGGCCUUCCCUCUCCAGUCGGUGGCUGCUCAGGUCGGAACCCUGGCGACAUCCUCGGCUCAGCUCCUCCGCUCGCCAACCGCUGCUCUGUCAGGAAACCCAUCGGCUGCACUUUCAAAAUGCGCCUAGAAUCUUCUCCCCACGUCCACGUGCCCAGCCUCGUCCAGGACGCGGUCAUCUCUUGCCACAGCCCCUAACCCUGUUCUGCCCCUCUGCUCACCUCUGCCACUCCCCACCCCCAGCCUCUUCUUGCACAGCGGCCAGAGUGAUCCUGUUACAAUGUCAGUCAGGUCAUGUCACCAUUCAGCUCAAAACCCUGCGAUGGCUCCAUCUCUUGCUGAGUAGAAGCCACAGUCUGUGUGGUGGCCUGAGGGCCCAACGUGGUCUACCCUCCAGCCCCCCACCCCCAGCACUGCAGCCCUCAUCUCACCUGCUGUGCUCAGGCCUCCGUGCUUGUCUUCAAACUCUUCAGGCAAGUGCUUGCCUCAGGGCCUUUGCACUGGCUGUUCCCGUGCCCGGCAUGCUCUUCCUCCAGGUAGGCUCACUGCCUUCACACCCACUGCUUUCACAUCGUCAUUCAGAGGCGUCUUCUCAGUGAGGCUGCCUGAUCGCUCUAGUCAUCUCCUGGGGCUGCCGUAAUAAAGUGACACAGACUAGGCGGCUGAAGUAACAGGAAUUUACUGCCUCACGGUUCUGGAGGCCGUGAGUCUGAGAUCAGGGUGUCGGCAGCGUGGGUUCCUCCUGAGGGCAGUGGGGGAAAAUCUGUUCCGCGC